CCUUGUUAGAGGGUGGUUGUGUGUCGCCCUGCUUCGUGACACGUUGAGAGCUUUAACCCCCCCCUCCACCCCCUCUAACUCUCCUCUCCCUCUCCCUCUCUCUUUCUCUCUCUCUCUUCCUCUCUCACAUAAGCCAGAAUGUCCCUGGCGGCGCGUCUGGGUUUGCGGUCACGGCGGGCCAGACUGAAGCCUCUCUUACUGGCCAGCCUGUGCUACCUUGUCACAGCCACCCUGCUCUCCAGACACACUGGAACAGGAGAGAAAAUGAAGGAGGAAGAAGGAGAUAGAGAAACCAGGCUGUUCUCCUCCUCCUCCUCCUCCUCCU